ensembl:snRNA U6 U6 spliceosomal RNA
GUGCUGGCUUUGCCAGCACAUAGACUAAAAUUAGAAUGAUACAGAAAAGAUUAGCCUGGCCCCUGUGCAAGGAGGACAUGCAAAUUUGUGGAGUGUUCUGGAUAACA